AUACGUAGGUGGCAAGCGUUGUCCGGAAUUAUUGGGCGUAAAGCGCGCGCAGGCGGUCCUUUAAGUCUGAUGUGAAAGCCCACGGCUCAACCGCGGAGGGUCAUUGGAAACUGGGGGACUUGAGUGCAGAAGAGGAUAGUGGAAUUCCAAGUGUAGCGGUGAAAUGCGUAGAGAUUUGGAGGAACACCAGUGGCGAAGGCGACUGCCUGGUCUGUAACUGACACUGAGGCGCGAAAGCGUGGGGAGCAAACAGGAUUAGAUACCCUGGUAGUCCACGCCGUAAACGAUGAGUGCUAAGUGUUGGGGGGUUUCCGCCCCUCAGUGCUGCAGCUAACGCAUUAAGCACUCCGCCUGGGGAGUACGGUCGCAAGACUGAAACUCAAAGGAAUUGACGGGG
rnacentral:rRNA from 1 species